AUUCCACUGAUUUCUUUUAUGAUG
rnacentral:miRNA from 1 species